rnacentral:rRNA from 1 species
UACGGGGGGGGGCAAGCGUUGUUCGGAAUUACUGGGCGUAAAGGGCUCGUAGGCGGCCAACUAAGUCAGACGUGAAAUCCCUCGGCUUAACCGGGGAACUGCGUCUGAUACUGGAUGGCUAGAGGUUGGGAGAGGGAUGCGGAAUUCCAGGUGUAGCGGUGAAAUGCGUAGAUAUCGUCAAGAACACCGAUAGUGUAGACAGCUUACUAGGCUGAAACUGACGCUGAGGCACGAAAAGUGUGGGGAUCAAACAGG